UUGUUGUCUCUUUGGCACAUUCUCCAUUUCCAUUCUCAAUUUUAUUGAUUCAUUUUUAGCAUCACUGGUUGUAUAUUACUGCUUUUAGACUGGUGGUCUUUGAUAGUGUGAUACCUACGGAUCACUAAACACUUUGGCGAUGGCACAUGUAUUACAAACUUUAUUAAUGAUCAGUUAUAUUUAAUCAAUUUUUACUGAUAUAAGGUCUUUCUUUUUAUAUCCCCAUCUUUUUCACAUCUCCAAGUUUUGUGCGUUCCUACCAGAGUACAGCCGGAAAUGCACUUCAAACUUGUCGAAUUUUGGUUUACAUUUCUCAAUUCAAGUCAUUUGAUACUUGACGUGUGCUCUUUAAUCGCCAAAUGCACUAUAUCCUGCUUGUAGUGACAACAUAAUAACUCUGUAAACUGACCUUCAGUAGGGACACUUUGUUAAUCGUGCUCUAAGAUUUAUCUCAAGAUAGAAAAAACGUGAACUAAUUUCAUGAAGGUUCAUUUUGUAUCAGUACAAGCGACCACGUAACAUACUCGUGCCGACAACACCAAAGAAGUCCGGUUUAGUACAUGUAUAUAAUGUGCAAAAUUGAAUAUAG
rnacentral:lncRNA from 1 species